AAUAGAUUAGGACACAACUAUGUACAGGUUGGGCAACCAGGUGAAGACACAGGGAAAAAGAAAGCCAUCUAUCAGCCAAGGAGAGGGGCCCUGGAAGGAACCAGUUCUGCCAACACUUUGUCCUUGGACUUCCAGCCUCCAGAACUAUGAGAAAAUAAAUUUGAGUUUAAACCAUCCAGUUUGUGGCACUUUGUUAGGACAACCUUAACAAACUCGUACAGUGUUUAAAGUUAAAAAUGGGUACCCUGAAUUAAAGGGGUUUUUUUUUGUUUUGUUUUUUCCACUUGGAUAAAUACCUGAGUACUCAUGAAGAAAGGAAAUUUGUCACACUCAUUCAUUAUGACCUUGGGGCUUAGAAGACUUGAUGCAAUCUAUUCUGUUUUGAUUGUUUAAAACUGCAUUCAACAGAACGCCCUCCUCAUUUCAUUCUCUUAGAGAAUCAGGUUAGAGUGCAUCCUCCAUGGAAACUCGCUGGAAUGAGGACCAAACUCAGAGCAUGGUUAUGAAAAUACAUGCCAACCUGGGAGUGGGGUGCUGGUCAGGAGAACAAGGAUCACUCAAGUUGAAUGCUCUCUGGAUUGGACAACAGAAGGCCUGGUUCUGCCCUUAGCUCUGCUGUUCACUGGACUCACAUCUUCUGUUUGUCAGGUAAAAAGUCAUGUUCUUCAGCAGCAGGAGUUACAGCCAAGAGAUGAAGAAGGGACAUAGCUAUUUAAAAUACAAUGAUGCAAAUAAACACAUAGAAGUAACUGAAAGUAACUGUGGAGAGACCUUGCCUGAGAGUCUGUGGACUUGAAACCCAGUGCAAACUCCAUUGCUGAGCAACUAGAGAGGAAGGGUCUGACACUGCAUUUUUAUGAUUCUGAUUCAUCUUCCUGAGAAAUACAGUUGUGUCUCAAGAGCAAUGAAUAGCAGUAAAAAGUGUCCUGGGCUGCUGAUUCCAGGCAGCACCUAAAUAGAAACACUGGAAGAGAUGAUAAACAUGAACCAGUGCCCAGUGCAAUUCCUGCCUUUUGAAGAGAAUGUAAGGUGGUCUUGCUCUUGUUGAUGUAAAUACGUGGAAAAUAACAGCCACAAAACACCUCACUUUUCUGUCUCUUUGAACAGUUCUGUAUGUUGAUUGAGUAGAUAAUUUGCUAAAAAUGACAGUGUCUCACCACCUAAGAUAGAGAAGUGUAAAAAUUAAAACAUUGAGCUUGUAUACACAUGUGUGGGUGUGUGCUUGUGUAUAUUCACAAGGACAUGUAGGUCAUGGGUGAAGAGAUAAUUCACUGUCAGCUGAGAAUCAGGUGUUGAUCAGGAGACUAACACCUGACCUUUCUUAAGUUUAUAAGGGCUUCCAUCGCCAGAAGAAACAAAAGCAAUACCCACCAUUUUUCUGGCCUCUUUAUCUCUAUGAACAGCUCUCCAGUCAGUGUGGUCUGCCUAAUCAGGCUUCUCUCAUCUGAUGAAUUAUUCUCGGAGAUCUUUCUCUUAGGCACUGCCCCCAAACUCCCUACUUAUUUGGGUAACACUCCUGGAGUUCUGAUUGGGUGUCCUGUCUGAAGGUGGCACAUCCUGUCACUCUGUCCUCUGCCUCUGGCUUUUAAAUCUAGGAUUUCUUCCAUUCUUUCAAUUUGGAUCCAAAAGAUGAAAGAAGGAGCUGGGUGUGUUUGUAAACCCCUGUGUUAGGUCUCAGACUCCCAGAUGGAUACGUCAGUGCCUGGAGGAGAGCUCAUUAAAGACCUAAUCACACAGGCUUCAUUGACUCACAGGCUGCUAUCUUGUUGCUGGUGUUGGGUUGUUUUUUUGUUUUGUUUUGUUUUGUUUUUUUUCCCCUCUCUCUCUUUCAUUAUUUUCUUGGCACCUCUAGCAUGGUGUUGAAGAUCAUCUGAGACUGACACAGAAUGAUAUGUGAUGUGAGGAAGUUGGAAGCAAAUGUAUUUGCUGCACUGGCACAUGGACCACACAUUUCUGAAGCUGGGUAGUCUUAUUUGACUAGCCUGUCUUUCUAGGUCAGAGCUUAUGCCUUUAACCCCUGGAUGCCUGUCCUUCCCUCUUCCCAAAGCAAGAAUGUCAGAGGAACUUAAAGGACUUACCUUAAGAGUUAUAUUCAUUCUGAUCAGAUUCAGUGUCAACAGGGUCAUGCAGCAAGAGCAGGCACACAGAGGUAAAGAAAGCAUCACGUUAUUUAGAACAGAUUAUGUAAAUGAGAAAAUAAGUUUUUUUUUUCUGCUUGCAGUAUUCUGAAAAAGAACAAAACAAAGCAGAACUGGCACUAAGAACUUAUAAUUCCAUUUUCUUUUGUUUUCCUUUACACAACUUCCCUGGCUUUGGAAAAGUAUCAUCCUCAUCUUUUUUAGGAUUAUAUCAUAGAGCUGAAUUUAGAGCAGAUAAUGUAAGGACAGACAUAGUAGCGUAAGAAAGUCUAAACAGCUUUGGCGGGCUGGAGAGUUAAAUAACAUGACAGUGUCAACCACUGCGUUGAGUUUUGUACAAAAUGGGUAAUAAGAAGCUAGAAGCAGAAAACAUUUCUACGCAUACAAACACAUUAUUAAGAACAUGAGGAAGGCAGGCUUUGCUUGUGCAAAUGACAUUUGAGGGGUCUGACCAGCAAAGAAACUAAGAGAUUGAAGGAUGGCUGGAAGUGGCGAGUGAAAGGAGGGUAUAUAUUAAGUAAGAAAAGUCCAGCUGUAUACAAAAGGAUCUGGGUCUCUUAUUUGGUUGCCAAAACACAAUCCAAGAGGGACUUGGAGGGUAAGCAGAAGUUGACUGUCUUCCACAGGGUAACCUCAGUUUCUGCACAUGCACAGGUGGGUCGGAGGCAGCUGUGAGCUGGCAUCCUGGGAGACUUCAUGACUGGAUGGCAUCAUGGGAAUUGGCCCUUCCUGUGCAAGACAAUUUGUGAAAUCUCAUUCAUGUGUCCAAAUGCAUGAUUAGGGACUUGCAGGAAGCACCCAUGUUCACACAGCUAUCAUUCAGACACAAAACAAAAUACAAAACACCAAAUGUCUCUUGAGCGGAGCCAGAUCUUUCUUAUCUUUGAACAAUCAAAACUUAUAAAAGCCUCAGGGAACUGAAAUGAUUUAUGAAUGUUCAGAGUUGCUAAACUUUUGACAAUUGUUCUUGGGAAAAUAAAAACUGUCUACAUUAUCCUGUAUUACCAUACUGAUUUUGACCAAAAAAAAAAAAAAAAUUGUUUCCAAAAAAAGAGUGUUGCUGCUUGCUUGUUACUUUUUUCCCUUCUAUUUAGACAUUACAUUAAACAACAACAAUAACAAGUUUAAGCUGAUCUAAGUAAGAGCAUCUGGGAAAAACAGAACCUUCUCAAUAGAAUGAUAGUAAAAAUCUCUGUCUGUCUUGGUCUGGGCUACAGACUGCACCCUGUCACCAGGCUGACCGAAUAGACAUUCAUAACCUCUUAAACUACCAGGGAAAAUCGUAGGCUCUAUGAUAUGCGGAUUCAGGCCUGGCAAAAAGAGCAGAUUGGUUUAAAAGCCUAGACAAAUAUUUCUCUAUCGUGGACGCUCCCAAGUCCUGCUACCUUUACUUUUUCUGCGGUGGAUAUGUUUAUACAGCAAUUAGCAGGAUACCACUGAUGUUUAUCCCCAUGGAGAAAAUAGUAAGCCAAUCUAUUAUUUUCUAAACCAUUCAUUUAUAAAUGGAUCACAAAGUGUUUUAUUUGCCUCCUUUAAUCAAGUGAUUUCUGAAGAAUGUUCAGCUGUCAGGUUUUUUCCCCUGGAUAUAGAGCCUGGGAGAGGAGAGUGUAGCAGCAGUGAAUUACAGUGAGAAAGAAGCAUGAUUUAUAGUCUCUUUACUCAUGUCAAAGGUAAAUUCAAAACGUGGAAAAUGUGGUGAACUAAAAACAUAACAGAUCCAUCAUGGUUAAAGGCAGAUUUUUUUUUUUUCCUCCUCAGCAUUAAUUGUAUGGUAU